rnacentral:rRNA from 1 species
UGGGGAAUUUUGGACAAUGGGCGCAAGCCUGAUCCAGCCAUGCCGCGUGCGGGAAGAAGGCCUUCGGGUUGUAAACCGCUUUUGUCAGGGAAGAAAUCUUCUGAGUUAAUACCUCGGGAGGAUGACGGUACCUGAAGAAUAAGCACCGGCUAACUACGUGCCAGCAGCCGCGGUAAUACGUAGGGUGCAAGCGUUAAUCGGAAUUACUGGGCGUAAAGCGUGCGCAGGCGGUUUUGUAAGACAGAGGUGAAAUCCCCGGGCUCAACCUGGGAACUGCCUUUGUGACUGCAAGGCUUGAGUGCGGCAGAGGGGGAUGGAAUUCCGCGUGUAGCAGUGAAAUGCGUAGAUAUGCGGAGGAACACCGAUGGCGAAGGCAAUCCCCUGGGCCUGCACUGACGCUCAUGCACGAAAGCGUGGGGAGCAAACAGGAUUAGAUACCCUGGUAGUCCACGCCCUAAACGAUGCCAACUGGUUGUUGGGAAGGUUCCUUCUCAGUAACGUAGCUAACGCGUGAAGUUGACCGCCUGGGGAGUACGGCCGCAAGGUU